rnacentral:misc_RNA from 1 species
AGCUAUUGGAAGAUGAGACAUCAAUUUUCCGUCAUCUAUCCUCAAGGAGGCGUUCCCCUGGAGGGAGAGAUGGACCUGCAUCACGUGGGCUUCCAAUGGUUCGAAGGGUUCCAAGAAGCAUUGGUGAAGACAAUUCUGAAGUUGUUGGACUAAGGCACGCUGAGAAGAUUAUGAGGGGAUUUCAUGAUGAUGGUGAACAACAUGCAUAUGCACGUCCGCAACCUCCCUACGAGGGAUUAGAUGGUCGCUUUGUACAAGGGUCUAGGAACUUUUCUUCUGUUCAGAGAAGGGGUCUUC